rnacentral:lncRNA from 1 species
AACAAGAAUGUGUCCCCAGUACACGAAUGCCCCACUCGCACUAUCAUUUUCUAUGUUCAGUGAACCGUGAAAUUGGGGUAAACCCUCUAAUUUGGCAUUAAAAUUAAAAAGAUCAUAUCAUAGGGAACAUGUAUACUAAGUUUGAAGUCGAUUGGACUUCAACUUCAUCAAAAACUACCUUGACCAAAAACUUUAACCUGAAGCGGGACAGACGGAUGAACGAACGGACGGACGAACGAACAGACGGACGAACGAACGGACGAACGGACGGACGAACGGACG